rnacentral:rRNA from 1 species
UACGAAGGGGGCUAGCGUUGCUCGGAUUGACUGGGCGUAAAGGGCGCGUAGGCGGUUCGUACAGUCAGACGUGAAAUUCCUGGGCUCAACCUGGGGGCUGCGUUUGAUACGUGCGGACUUGAGUGCGGAAGAGGGUCGUGGAAUUCCCAGUGUAGAGGUGAAAUUCGUAGAUAUUGGGAAGAACACCGGUGGCGAAGGCGGCGACCUGGUCCGAUACUGACGCUGAGGCCGCGAAAGCGUGGGGAGCAAACAGG